rnacentral:rRNA from 1 species
AUGUCUAAUUAUUGUUGCAUCAUUGGUGUUGCUUUAUUGGAUACACUGUCCUUUGGUGUUCUUUGGUUUUGUUAUUCUUUUCUUGGUUUUGAUCAUUUUGUGAUUGCAGGUGAUGAUAAAGACAGAAAAUGGUCUGUGCACAUGGCGCUAACGAUCGUGGAGGGAUCGACAAGGGGCCCGACUGUACUGUUUGGUACCGGAGGAGCCACUGCGGGCGUUGACGGCAGCAGAACACUUUACCCCUCAUGCCCAGCUUCCACUGGUCCACCGUGGGUGCUUCAGGCUUUGGUGAUUACAGCAAAUUAG